AGAGUUUGAUCCUGGCUCAGAACGAACGCUGGCGGCAGGCUUAACACAUGCAAGUCGAACGCCCCGCAAGGGGAGUGGCAGACGGGUGAGUAACGCGUGGGAAUCUACCCAACCCUGCGGAAUAGCUCUGGGAAACUGGAAUUAAUACCGCAUACGCCCUACGGGGGAAAGAUUUAUCGGGGAUGGAUGAGCCCGCGUUGGAUUAGCUAGUUGGUGGGGUAAAGGCCUACCAAGGCGACGAUCCAUAGCUGGUCUGAGAGGAUGAUCAGCCACAUUGGGACUGAGACACGGCCCAAACUCCUACGGGAGGCAGCAGUGGGGAAUAUUGGACAAUGGGCGCAAGCCUGAUCCAGCCAUGCCGCGUGAGCGAUGAAGGCCUUAGGGUUGUAAAGCUCUUUCACCGGUGAAGAUAAUGACGGUAACCGGAGAAGAAGCCCCGGCUAACUUCGUG
rnacentral:rRNA from 1 species